GUCUUUUGGGAGUGUACAAAGCUGCUGUCGCAUCGAGCAGAAAGUUGAUCCUGAGUGGAAUUCUGGAGUGUCUUCAAAAAGAGGACACAAACCAGAACAGGAGAGCAGCUGCCCUACUUGGUCUUCCUCAAUUUCUUUCAGAGGAUUCCUCCGAUAUAAUCAGGAUGUGUGAUGCUCAUGGAGAAACCCUCGAUGAGAUAAUGAAAGGAAUGCAGGUCGGACUGCUUAUUGGACACGAAGGCCCUCUCCAUGAUGCAUUUCCUCUGGAAGUCUUUCAUGUGGCUGUGGUGGUAGAGGAGACGCUUAUCGUUCAUGACCUCAAAGAUGUGCCCACAGGCUUUGCCAUUUUAAUGGGCGCAAUCUACUG